GUGAAUAUUAGCUGUAUGAAUGAGGACAUAACAUAUUUUAGCAAAAUUUUGUCGACACAGUUCUUCCUAGACUUGAAUAUUUUAUGACAAACUUCUUUAUCUUGCAAGAGUUAGUAUUCAGGAACUUCGUGAACACAUCUGUUCUUAGCUCUUCCAGUACUUUUUGGCAAAGACAUAAUUGCACCAAUAAUCUUCAAGUAUCAUUUUUAAACUCUCAUGGUUCUCUAACACUAGAAAAUGAGGAAGAUAUUUUAAUACUUCUGAGUAAGAUGUAGGUCACCCGUGAUUGAAGUGAGUCAGACCAGGAACAAGCUGGCUGGCAGAGGAGCUAUGUAAUUGUGGAUGAAUGGUUGUAAAUCUCUUUUUCCUGAUGGAAACUGAAGAUUUCCUAGGUCCUUCAAAAAUGAAAUCUGUUAUCAUUUUAAGCUGUCUACUUUCCUAUAAAUCCCCUAUGUGCUAUUUUAAACUCAUUUCCGUCUGUUUUCUCUGCCCAGUGCCCUGACAGUAAUAAUGAGGCAGAUGUCCGCUGAGGGCACCCCAUGUACCUAGCACUGUUGUAAACGUACAAAUAUUAACUCAUUUAACCCUGUCAACAACCUUCUAAGAGAGAAGUAUAUGUGUUCUCACUUCACAUAUGAGGAAACUGAGGCACAGAGAGGCUAUGUAACUUAUCCAGGAUGGAACCAGGAUUCAAGCCCACGCAGUGUGUACUCUAGUGUACUAGAAAAUGUAGCUCCUGAUCUAAUGGCGGCAGACUAAUGUGUCAGGGGCCCACACUGCUAAUACUGAUAGAGAUUCACCAGUCAAAACUAUAAUCUUGGCGUCGGCACAGGUUUCCGCAGCUGAGGGGCAGCUCCACAGCGGCGUCUGGGGUCUCCAGUUGGGUGCUUGCACAGUCCCCCGCCGAGGCUGGCAACGGGCGUCCCUCCACUCCCCGAGUCCCCGGCCACCGCCGCCACCCCAGCGCGCCCCGAUCUGGUCCCCUGCCCCGCGAAGAUGGCUGCCGUAAGCUGGGCCAGCAGUUACUGCCGUGCCUGGUGCGCUUCUCCGACCUAGAACUCUGCUAAGCCCCGCUGCAGAGACAGGCAGGAGUAGACACCCGGACACCUAGCACCCCUCCUCCGGGGGCAGUGCAGAGGGGGCAUGAAGAGCCGCCCUCGAGUGCAGCAGGCCGCCCCGCCAGCAUGGCAGAAGCUGAGGAAGAUUGUCAUUCUGAUACUGUCAGAGCAAAUGAAGAUGAUGAAGAAAAUGAAAGUCCUGCUGAAAUAGAUCUGCAGGCACAACUCCAGGUGUUCCGAGCUCAGUGGAUGUUUGAACUUGCUCCAGGUGUAAGCUCUAGCAAUUUGGAAAAUCGACCUUGCAGAGCAACAAGAGGCUCUCUCCAGAAAAUAGCAGCAGAUACCAAAGGAAAACAAGAACAGGCAAAAGAAGAAAAGGCUCGAGAACUCUUCCUAAAAGCAGUAGAAGAACAAAAUGGAGCUCUCUAUAAAGCCAUCAAGUUUUAUUGUAGGGCUAUGCAACUUGGACCUGAUAUAGAGUUCAAGAUUACUUAUACCUGGUAUCCAGAUGGUGAUGGCGUUGGAAACAGCUACAUUGAAGAUAAUGAUGAUGAUAGUAAAAUGGCAGAUCUCUUGUCCUACUUUCAGCAGCAACUCACAUUUCAGGAGUCUGUGCUCAGACUGUGUCAGCCUGAGCUUGAGAGCAGUCAGACUCAUAUAUCAGUCCUGCCAAUGGAGGUCCUCAUGCACAUCUUCCGAUGGGUGGUCUAGUGACUUGGACCUCAGAUCAUUGGAGCAGUUGUCCCUGGUGUGCAGAGGAUUCUACAUCUGUGCCAGAGACCCUGAAAUGUGGCAUCUGGCCUGCUUGAAAGUUUGGGGCAGAAGCUGUAUUAAACUUGUUCCUUACACAUCCUGGAGAGAGAUGUUUUUAGAACAGCCUCCUGUUCGGUUUAAUGGAGUGUAUACCAGUAAAAUCACAUAUAUUCGUCAAGGAGAACAGUCUCUUGAUGGUUUCUAUAGAGCCUGGGACCAAGUGGAAUAUUAGAGGUACAUAAGAUUCUUUCCUGAUGGCCAUGUGAUGAUGCUGACAACCCCUGGGGAGCCUCAGUACAUUGUUCCUCAUUUAAGAACUAGGAAUACCAGGACUGAUACAAUUCUACUAGGUAACUAUCACUUGUCACAAGACACAGACAAUCAGACCAAAGUAUUUGCUGUUAUAACUAAGAAAAAAGAAGAAAAACCACUUGACUAUAAAUACAGAUAAUUUCAUCAUGUCCCUGUACAAGAAGCAGAUCAGGGUUUUCAGGUGGGGCUACAACUAUGUUCCAGUGGCCACCAGUGGUUCAACAAACUCAUUUGGAUACAUCAUUCUUGUUACAUUACUUACAAAUCAACUAGUGGGACUGCAGUCAGUGCUUUUGAGAUUGACAAGAUAUACACCCCCUUGUUCUUCGCCAGAGUAAGGAGCUACACAGCUUUCUCAGAAAGGCCUCUGUAGAGCCUCAAGUCCAGUCUUCUAUCACUUUUGCAUGAAUAGAAGUAUAUAGCACAAAAGAGCACCUAAGUUAUAAAUGUACAUAUGUAUCUAUGAAAUUGGAACUUAUUUUAAAUGAGAGUUCUUUUAAGAAGAGUAUAAAUUGAUUAUUUUUUUUAUUUAAAGGGAUAGUUGAUUCUUGGGGUGUUUUGAAAUUAAGUUGGAAUUAUAAGUUGCAUAAGCAUAUUUAUGUUGUGAGAAACCUUAAUUUAUCAUGCCCUUUUUCAAGCAGAUUUAUGAGCAGAUUUCUGUCACAUAAAUUGUCUUCUGCCUGAGCAUUCUAAUAUUUAAAUGCCUCAGGGGAGCGCUUCACUGGAUAAGCAUUUUAUUUCCCACAUGGCAUAAUGUCUUUGCACUAAAGGCUGAAAGUGUGAGAACCUUUUCUGGAUUUGUUUGAAAUUGUUUCACCAAUAAAGAUCAUAAAUAAAAAAAA